GGUGGUGGUGGUGGUGGUGGUGGUGGGGAUGGGUAAGGGAGGUAUGGGUUGGGCGCGCCAAGCUGCUGGGGGUAGCUCUUUACGGUGCGCUUCUGUGUAUAUUUUGCAUCACGAGUGGCUUCGGCCUCUUGAAUGAGGCUUAUUAAUUUAUGAAAAGGGGGCGCAACAAUUUGUUGAUGGAGAUUUGUUACAGAGAGGAUGUACUCAUCCUGGCAUCCCAUCCUAAACCUAUCUAAAAGAUUCUGGUCUGUCGAGUCUGGUAAAAACUCUCCUAUCUCCACCAACUUGUUGAUUUUGAGCUGUGUCCUCUUUAGGAAGUCUGAGGGCUUUUACCCUUUGUCAUGGGACAUACACAUAAACUCGCUAAGGAGAAGGGACUUGUUCUCUACUGCGCCAUACACAUUGUCCAAAAAAGAUACAAGUCCAUGGGCAGUGGAGCUUCUCGUCCUGAUGUCCCUGGGUUAGGGUUUAGGGUAUUGGAUAUUGAUUGUUCCUUAAGUGUUUAUGCGCUUGGUGCUUUAAUACCAACAUGAUUGCAGCCAAUACAGCCCAAAGUUUUCUCUUGGAUGAAGAUAACAUUUACUACUAAGAAUUUAUUUAUUAUGAUAACAAUCAUUGAACAUACAGCCCAACAUGCAUCCUAGGGCUAAAUAUAUUCACUUUACAAAACAAAAUAUACAGAAUACAUACAAAUCAAGAUGAAAAACAAAGAAUACCAAUUAUCAAUCAUUAGGUUGAAAUAAAGUUAAUGUAGUACAAAAUAAUCAUACAAAAUUACACUGAAUAAAUCCUCAAAUAUUACAUUUAACAUUUCAGAAGUAAAAUUAGAUUGUGGUGAUUGUAGGAAACCUGCAACUACUUCUUCAAGAUGUUUUUGCAUUUCAUGGCUCGAAAAUGAAUUUUGCUGCUGACUUAGCCGGUAGUGUUCCUUUGAAGGGCCUUUACAGUUCACUUCUUUAUGAAGAAAUGACAGCUGUGUUAAAGAUGGCAGGCCUCACUUCUUCUUCAGUCUUGGAGGAUCUUAAUUUCUCAACACAGGGUGACUUCGAGCUAGAUGACAGUGCAGAAGCUACAGAGCAACCAGCAUCUGAAGAAAGCUCAACUAUGUCAUCAACCAGAACCAGAAGCGGAUGAGUUAUUAAACCACCAGAUCGCUUGAACUUGUAAAUAAAUGAAAGCGAACCACAAAGAAAGACUUUCGCGUUUUGUAAAUAGUUUAAAGUUAAUACAUCCUCAACGCCAGAUUUGUCGCAACCUCGAUAAUGGAAGGCCUUGCUUGCAGUGCUAACAAGUCUUGUAACUCCGGCCUCUGAUUUUACUUCACAAUCAGUUCGUUCUUUUUUAAAUCACUAAACAAGUUGUAAUAUUGAAUUUCCUCUUCGUCUUCAUAAUCGAUUUCGAACAGUUUUCAUGGAAUCUUCUUUUCUGGUCUCGAUACCGAUCACUAGACCUCUUACCCACAUUUUCUUGUGAGCACUUAUGAACAGAUAUUCAAUUUCCUCCCCAACAAGCAGUUCUGGCUUCUCCAGGAAAUUUGCCAGAACCCGUUUUGAUGCCUGAGCAGCUCUCUUCGUCUUCUCACUUUCAAUUAUCUCACCCAAUUUCCUUUUUCUGGUCCUCAAAGUUUUCUGCUUGUUCCUCUGUUGGAGUAUAAUCCAGACCAGACACGCCUUGGAUGCUUUUCUUGGGCAGUAUUUGCAGCCUCUACGGGAUCCAUCUCUGUACAAAGAUGAUUGUAGUCAACCACUUCUACGAGAUGUUUUUCCAUUUCUUGGCUCGAGUUUUCUGCCUUUCUCUUUGAGCGGGAGGCUUGUUUCUCCAAUCAACCUUUUUUCCUGAAUUUUGCUGCUUUGUUAGCUGGUAGUGUUCCUUUCUAAUAAUAAGAAUUAUAAAAACGUUACUUGUAAAGCGCUUACCACCGAAGUCUCUAAGCACUAAGACGUAUACUUGGAUGCGGCAGGGAGAUUGGGUAUUCUUAGUAGUUGUUUCAGUCUUUGACGACCACUCUUUUUUCCCCUAUGACUAUACGACUACGUUUGGACUGUUUCUGAAGUAUUCCAAUUCCAAGAGAUUUGAUUUGAUCCAAGACAAAAGGAUGCAAAGCACAUUGUGAAACAACAUCCUGUGGGGCACAAUUCAAUUUCAAAAGUUCAUCACGGUGAUAAGAAAUAAGAGUUAUAGUUGAUGUAAACUUUAGCUCAUUUUCUGUCCGAGGUCCAGGAUUUGGAUUGAUAUCACCAGAAAUCAAUAGUUGUAUUUGGAAAGUUGAUGAUGUGUUAGAAUAAUAAAGAACGCGUUGAGACAGGAAGUCAAUAUAGGUUCUGAGGGUUGCGAAUACUUCCCUCAAGGCAACUGGUCUUUACACUGUCUUUGUAAAAUGAGUAGCACAGCACAACUGAUGAGCUCCAACGCAUGGAUCGUCCUUGCUUCAGAGUCUGCGUCUGACGGUUGCAAAAGCUUCUGUGCAACCUCAUCAGUCAAACCUAUAUUGUAUGGACUGUCUCCUUGUAGGACAAGUGAAGCAUCCAUUAACACUACCGGGGCUUUUGUAAUGUUAUGAGUCGCGGGAAACUAACAUUUAUCAUUUAAAACAAAAUUUGUUUUCAAAGUGACAGAUGCUUUAUUUUUAUUCUCUUGGAUUGAGAAGACAUUUGUUCAAUUAAGUUUAUUCAUUUCCAUAAAAAUCACAUCACAAGAACACAUACAUUUGCAAAAGGUACUGUAAAUAACAUGCAAAAUCUUUCAUUAGAAUAUACAUAAGUACAUUAAAAUAUUAAACAAUAAUGGUAAAACGGAAGUUAUAAAAACCCAAAUAAAUGAGUUUGUUGAGAUAUCUACCCCCAAUUAAUUAAACAAAAUGUGAUGAACAUAAUAAAGAUUAGUCCAGAAUCCGGCCUAUUUAAUUUUGAUCUCCACCACAUCAAUGCUACCUCUCCCUACUUACUUGCUACCAGCCGAUGAUGGCGUCAUCAUUAAAUUAGGACGCCCAGUAUAGCUGGGGUAAAAGUCAAUACGUAAUAACCUUUUUCACCAUAUGCGGAAUUAUAUUCAAGAAUUGCAAAGUUGUAUUUUAAAACUGUUGUCCAGGGUAUUGGGUCGGAUUGUCCAGGGUCAGGCUGUCCGGUGCUCGGGUGGUCUAGGAUUCCGCAAAAAUUGUUCAGUCACUGUCACUAACAGACAAGACAGCCUCUUGGUACUCGUCACUGUCAGAAAAAUCUUCAUCUGUGUCGGAUUCUGUUUCGUCUCUGAAGGCCACCAACUGGUCUGACACUGAUGAUCUCUCCAAUGUGGACAAAGAAUACCCCACACGUCUGAAGCCAUCUCCAGACUUGGGAGGGCAUACCAGGACCUGAAGCUUUCAAUGCUUAAUUGAAUAGUGCUCUCACAAACAAUCUGGUUAACUUUACUAACGGAGAAACUGCAAGCUAAAUCCGCACCACAGUAGUUGUGGUGAAGUCCUUCAUGCUGGCCGACACAGCCCUUCCAGCAAUAUCACCUGAAAAUUGGAUAGUGAUGGCCACGCUAGGUUUUCCAUCUCUCCCGAUGUGACCGCUCAUCUGUAUGUAGUCGUCAAGGUCUGUGCAACGUCCAAAGAUCAUCGUAGUGUUCACACCUUUCACAUCAACGCCCAUGCCAUAUGCAAUUGUAGCACAAUCAACACCCUCACAGAUCCAUCUGCAUGGCUGAAACUGUCAAUGAUGUUCUGCUGGACAUCGUGUUCCGUAUUGGUGUGGAACAUAUCAAAGUAUUUGGGGUGUGGUGAUGGCAGUAAGUCAAUAAAUGUGGCAUAAAGGUCACUGACCACCUUUCUUGACUGGCAAUAGAUGAUAUAUCUCUCGCAUGAAGCCCCAUUAGCCUUCAAAUCAGCUAGUAACCAAGCAAAAAUAGUGUCGUAGUCCUUGCUGCGUGUUUUGAAAACACGAUCGAUCAAAGUGCAAAACAAACUCGUUUCUUUUCGGUCUAAAGAGAUUGUCACUUUAUCAACCAAUCAGCGCAGCGUAAGCAUGAUGGUGGGCGGUCCGCAGUUUUAUUGCUCUCCGUUGAAAUUUCAACGGAGAGCAAUUAAAGUGAGGUUUUUGUCUGUACGGUCCUCAGACUGGGCUGGUGAGCAUAAUUAUGAGUUUGUUGAUAACGCCAUCUUCGACGGCUUGAAUCAAGUGUGUAGGGAAAUUAUAAAGGACCAUGCAGAUUCUGGACUAAAUAAAGAUUUGAAAUUACAUAAACUUAUUUUGCCCUAAAGAAAACUUGUAGAAGAACAGAAACAAACAAAAAAAAACAUACAAGCCUUACAAAUACACACAUACACACACAUAUAUAUAAAGUGGAAAAAUAUGAGGAGAGAUACAUUCUUUGCUGUGAGAUCUUCCCUCGAUUUUCUCUUUCCGGCAAGUAUUCAGUGAUUUCUCAUUACUUCACUAUGGUUUCUGUAUGAUCGGUUUAUUAUGAUAAAAAAGAUAUUGAACAUGCAGCUUAAAGGCUUGUGAUGUUCACAGUCCGCCAAGCUUCGAAACUUCUUCUACGAGAGAAGUGGUUGCCAGCAUUUUCUUGUAUUCUGCUUCCUUCUUUUUCUGUUGAGUCCUCUGCAGAGUUCGAGUUCACACUUGACUUCUACGUUCCUCCUAUCUUUAACGGUGCUGUUUAUUAAAUCUUGUAUGUUUGUGACAAUUGAUGGAUGGUUCUCGGGGAUCGAUGCUCUCCAAAAUCUAGAUGACUCUUGUUUUUUCUGAAGAGUGAUUACAUGUCCUCCUCUGUUUCGCGGUUAUUGUUAAGUGUUGUGAAAAAUUAAAAUGGUCUAGAAAGGGAAUAAUUAUAUGAGACAAAAAUUCAUCAGCAUCAUGUUGCUGACUCAUCGUAAACGAGCAGGCACAGCAAACUGCUAUGUAUGCAUUCUGGAUAACGGCGAACGUUAGAAUGGACUCGUCGGUCACAUUUAUCCUAACAUUAAGUAGGCUGAAUAGUUCAUGGUAUGCACUGCAUCCUUUUCAUGAUGGCCUGUAGGUUCUGGGGGUUGAUUAUGGUGUUGAAAGAAAUUUCUUAUGAUUGGGGUGUGACAUAUGCCUUGAAUAGCGGCAUUAAACCAACAAUUGCUUGACUGAUUUUCCAUCCCACAAAUUCCAUAGUAUUCAUCUUUGGGUAUCUUUGCAUGUCCAAGCGGAUUUCUCUUAGGUGCCUUCUGGAAAACACCACCCCUCUUGUGACCCCCCCCCCCCUUUUUUGUUCCAUUCUUCUUCUAUCGUCACUCUUGAUUUUCCCCAAGAUUGACCUCCAUGGUUACUACUUUGAAGAUUUCCUUCAUUUUCAUUCCCAUUCGCACGUUUCUGAUCUUGUGAUUUCCUGCGCCCUGAUUUUCUUGUAGAUUUAUCAUCGUAAUUUCUCUGAAUCCCUAUUGUGUCUUUUUCUUAAAUCGACACAAAUUCAUCUAUUCUAUUGAUUUUUCUUGUACCCAAUUGGAUAUUUUUCAAAACUCCCAUUCGUUGCUCAGCGUUUCUGGUAGUUCUUGAAAUUUUCAAAAUUUCUGUUUUGCGAUCUGCAAACAAUUUAUGUGUAUCACCUUUUUUGUACCGUGACAAAUCCCCUGAGCAGAAUACCUGACCAUAAGACACAUGACGGCAACAUGGUAUUUACUAUUUUUAAAACUUUCACUGAUUUGCUUUUCUAUUUCUGUUGAGUCCUCUGCAGAGAUCGAGUCCUAGAGAGGAUGAAAACAUUCACUUCACAAAAUAAGAUAUACAGAAUGCAUACAAAUCAAGAAAUACCAGUUAUCAAUAAUUAUGUCAAAAUAUAACUUACAUACAUGUAGUACAUCAAUCAAAUCACAUUGCACAGAAUAAAUCCUUGAUUAUAACAUAUAACAUUUUAAAAGUUAAAAGUUGAUGUUAUUAGAAGUAGGAAGAAAAGGGGGCAGAGGAGAGAACAAGGGAGCAGGUAGAUAUAUGGAGACAAGUGAGAGCGGAAUCGAGAGAGAGAAACAAAAAGAUACUAAAUCAGGAUUUAUACAAAAGCAGGAUUGCUAGGUAUAAGUUGGAUAUCAAUAUAUCUCUUUUAGCCAUCUUUUGAAAAUGCGGUACAAAAAGUCACUACCAUAUUUAUUAUAAAAAAAAAAUUACAUUGCAUAUGUUUUAUUACCUCUUCAGUCUUCCAAGUGUUUUCCAGCUGAAACCAAAAAUUGAUUUCAGCUGUAGGAUGUCCUCGAAUGGAAUACUUAUUCCAGCUGGUACCAAUAUUUCAGAAUUAUUCGACAACUAAAAGACCAUUUAGUUGCCAACUAGGCUUUAUGAAUUGGGCCUACCGGUAGUUGCCAACUGAAACUUAGUAAGGUUUUAUGAAUACCCUUUAGUGCCUAGUUGACAACGAGAGAGCAGUUUAGUUGCCAACUAGGAUUUAUAGGAUUUUAUGAAUAUGAGACAGAUCUUCCAGUCAUACAUGUAGGAAAACAUUCCUGCUCUCCCGUGCCAUUUGUAAAAAAAAUGUGAUGAUGGUCAAGCUUGAGAUGAAUAACACGGAACAUCAGUAGCAGGAUAAUAAAUCAAAUUUGAUACUUAACGUUAUGGGAAGAUACAUACCGGAAUGGUUUCUAGCAGUGAUUAAAUGAAUCUUCAACUCAUUUGAUAUUUUUGUAUAGCAUUUCAUUCCAAAUUUUGUAUUGGUGCUAUGGUACUUCUUGUUUUAGCACACCUAAAAUGAUAACCUUGCUAACCUUUCGCUAACCUACCUACUAUGACAUUUUAACAUAGCCAUGAAAUGUCUGGAAUUUUGAAAUAAUUUGGCUAAGAAAUCUUUGUAAGUUUUCAGAGAAGUAAUUGAUAUUUGGUACAGUAAAAAUUAAAAAUUUAUUGAGCUUGUAUAUUAUGUGUAUGAUAUGUAUUAUAAAUCAUGUAUGUAUUGUAUAUAUAUAUAUAUUAUGUAAAGCAUGUAUUGGCAUAAAUGCACCAUAUAUUGAUUUAUUAUUAUCCCUAAA
rnacentral:lncRNA from 1 species